AUUUGCUGCCUCCGUCUGUACCGGAAAUGGAGAUCAAGGGCAACAAUUCCAUUCUGGUCUCAUGGCGUGCUGUGGUACGAGAAAAAUAUCCGAUCGAUUAUUUUUUCGUAGAAUAUUACCAAUAUAACCGCUGUGAGUUCUGCUCUAAAUGCUGUACGUGGGUCAACAAUGAGCCAAAGAAUAAAUCAUCGAAUGAAUCUUAUCACGAGGAGCUAAUCAAUAUUCUCGAGCCAAAUUUUGAUUAUAAGUUUAGAAUCUACAUAAUAUAUUGGAACGGAGAGAUUAUUCCAGGAGAAUUUUGCGAGCCAAUAAAACUUGUGUGGCCUCUUUAAAUUUGGAUACAUUUAGUCGAUUAGUUUCCGAGUUGCGGCCUCCACCCCACACAGACUACUGUACUCAAGGCAAGUGGGGUGCCACAAUUUUUCCAUCCAGUGCUUUAAAAGGAACAGUUAUCGUUGAAUAUUAAUGAGUUUUUAAAAUUCAUAAGAUACUUUGAAUAUUUGAGUCAAACAAAGCUAGGUACUACAACAUAGAGGUAUAUUACUGAUUUAAGGAUUUAGCUUCGCCUAUGCGGUGCACUUCUUCGUUGUUAAAUGCGUAGUAAAAAAGACUUUGAUUUUGUUAUUGGUGUUUGUGUUUUUUAUGCAAGUUGUGAAUAAUAAAAUUCAUCAGAUCUAAAGUAGCUUUUUUCAUUUUUACGCCGCAAUUAGAAUGCAUCGAGUUUAUAGCCGGACUUCUAUACAGAUUUUUCAAGAAUGCAGAGCCCUGCAGUUCGAAUCGUGAAAAAUCAAGGCAAUACUGUGAAGUUUGGUGUGACACUCGUUUUGUGAUACAAAACUCUCUCUAUGCAAGAUAUUAAUUGCACCAUAAAGAGAUGAGGAAUAAGGCAUAAAGUGAAACCUACCAUCAUGAUUGCUUGUUAUCAAACAUUAAAAGUGAUUAUUAACGAGAUAAAUGAGUAGCUUUCAAUGUUUUUCUAUUCAGGCUGCAUGAUGAGCUUGUUUACGAAAUGUCGAACUGUACGACCUGAAGUGAGGUGGCCACUCAUAUUAAUUCUCCUUACAUACACUGCAGUGUUCGGAUACACAGUUGCCGCGAAAAAAGACAAUCACAUCCAGGCUCACGAACCACGAAGUGACGAACCUUUCACGAAACGAGUCUGUGCUCGGCCAUCGAAGAAGCUUCAUCGACUAGCUCGAUCGAGUGACUUUGUCGAAGGCUAUGACGUCAACGGCGAAAGAGCAAACCAUCUGUUGUUGGCAGAGAAGGACGAUGAGCAAGAAGAUGUUGACGGUGUCCUGCAAGAGGCCGAGACUGAAAUGAUUAAGCAGCGAUCCCGGUGCGGUCUACCGCUUGGCGUUGAAGCAAAAGUCGUUGACGAGAGGUCUUUCAAUAUAAGUUGGUACACAGAAACCCCGCAAAGGAUCCCGAUCAAAUAUUUCAUGUUGGAAUAUGAUCAGGCAAAAAGAGAGAACGAGACGGUGAUCCAGUGUCGGCAGUGGGUUGAAUCCGAAAGCAGCGUCAAAAACAAGACUCACUCCUUUCAUAAUCAUCUCAUCACUGCAUUGACUAACGGUCAUUUUUACCAGUUCCGUGUAGUGUCCCAUUGCAACGACUACAUGACCAGCGCUUCGCCUAAAACUGCGUGGAUAUACAUGCCCGGCGACGGCGGUGCAUUGCGGGUAACCCACCCUCCCGGCUUCACUCCUCCUCCGUUUCCUGCGCACUGGUAGCUGAUUUCUAAUUAUAUUAUUCGAUACUUUGGUCUCACUCCUUGAAAACUGUCGUGUAAUUGAGCUAAAAACGAAAGUAAAAACUGUGAAGGAAGUUGUAAAUAAAAUGUAUUGUAACGAGAAAUUUCAAAAUAAUUUUGUCUGCACCUACACAUUUACGUCAUUAACCUGAAACCUCAUCUAGUACUACACUUCCUACCUACAGAGAUUGAAAGUGUGGUUAUCGAGGGGGACGGGAGGGGGGCAAUUUUAUUUUUAUGGAUGCAAGUAAUGCUGAGUGUUUACUAUAGCGAAUAACAAUUUUUAGGUCGUGUUCCGUACUUCUGUCCUUCCAACCUACAUAUAUUUUACGAUACCUAGAAAAAGUCAGUUUUGUUAAAAAAAAAAAAAAAAUCUGAGCCUUUCUUACCAAGAAAUUGAUCAAAUCACAAAGUCAAAGAUAAAAAAUAUGUAACGUUUAUAAUUAGCAAAAUACUUUACAUUUUUUGGAAAGGACCGAGGAGAUAUUGGGAUGGGAGCUGUUCUUUGGAAAAGAUGAUACAUAGGCUGUUCAAAAAGUAAGUAGACUGAAGCUGUAACUUGAAAACCAAUGUAUGCAAAUAGCUGUUCUUGAUUUCAUUUUAAAGAUCAACUCAUUAUCUAUCGAUUGAAACAAAGAUCAACUCAUUUGGUCAAAAAUUGAGAAAGUUAUGCAAGUUUAAACUUUGAAAGUAAGUUUGACCCCUGCGGUUUUUAUUGAAGAUUUUCAAUCACCGAAAUUAGGAUGUUUCGUCUUCGUUUCCACUAUCAUCUGACUCUUCGGGCUUGACACUGACCGUAUUAAUGUUUUCCGCAGUUAAAGACGUCAAAGGUCGACCAGACUUUGGGAGAACUUCAGCAGACUUCCGACCGUCUUUAGACUUUUUAUGCCAACGGAAAAUUGCGGCCCGACACAAACACUCAUCUCCGUACGCGUCUUUCAUCUCAUUCAGCGUGUCCGUUGCUGAUAAUCCGCGUCGAACAAAAUAACGAAUGAAAAAGUGUUGUUCUUUUUCAACUUUCUUAUCUUUUUCCAUAUCGACUGCACAAAAAUUAGAGCAAAAUGCAACAAAAAUCACUAAAAGACUGCGAUAAACCCGCGCGCACCUGUGACUUGUCACCGACUGAGGAAACUUCCCGAGUUUACGGGGUAAGUCCAGCUUAUCGGGCUUCUUCCCCUUAUGGACCCGUAUGUACCCUAGUCGGUCGACGAUUACGGAAAAGUGUUUACACAGUGUGCUAUUCAUGGUUGCCAAGUGUUUCUGGUAAAAUGAUGUAUCAAAACGUAUUUCAAGUGACAACUUUUGGCAAGCGAAAAUUUUCAAUAAAAACCGUAGGGGUCAAACUUACUUUCAAAGUUUAAACUUGCAUAACUUUCUCAAUUUUUGACCAAACGAGUUGAUCUUGGUCUCAAUCGAUAGAUAAUGAGUUGAUCUUUAAAAUGAAACCAAGAACAGCUAUCUGCAUACAUUGGUUUUCAAGUUACAGCUUCAGUCUACUUACUUUUUGAACAGCCUAUGUACAAUGAAUAAUCUCUAAUCAAAAGACCAAGCAUUAGACGAAAAGUAUCCUUGAAAGCUUGUCAUCGUGAUAAGUUGUUAUCAAACAUUAAAA
rnacentral:lncRNA from 1 species